UGAAGAUUUUGAAAGUGAAGGGGAAAGAUGAAAGAAGAGUUUGAGAGACCAGUAGUUGACCUCUGAAGAAAAUCUGAAAAUGAUGUGCUAUCUUCCAUGCAUGCAGCGAUACUGGAGGAAAGUCUUCACGUGCUUUGUCACGUGUGUUUGUCUUUGCAACAAAUUUUAUGAUAAAAUAGUAGUUUGAUUCUCAUUUUUUGCCUAAACAAAAAUGGUUUUGUAUAUUAUAAUUAUUUUAAGAUUUGAAAAACUUAGAUCCUAUACUAUUUUUAAAUUUUACAACAUUUAUGGCAUGUUUGGUUCAGUGUAAUGGCUAUGCCAUUACAAGCCUAUUCCGUGGGCCCACACUAAACACUUGUUUGGUUUAAUGGAAUGCCCUAUUACGAGCUUAUUCCAUUACGCUCCUAUGCAAAGAAAUUGUCUUAUUUCUAUUCCGUUUCAUCAGCACCGAUUACUGAUUCGGUGUUUAAGGAAACGCUCAAUACAAAGACGCUCCCCACUUUGCCCUCUCCCCUUCUCCCACUUUCUCACUUGAAAAAAGCAGACGGACAAUCCUUCAUCGCAGGGUCAGCUUGCAAGCAAGGAAAAAAUGGAGAAAGAACGAGCAAGACUUGCUGAUGAAUUGAAUAGAGGAUAUUUUGAUGAUAUGUCUGAGCUAAAACAGCACGGUGGUAAGAAUGAUACAAGCUCUACUGGAUAGACUUGUUCCUUUGCUUCUUCAGCAACUAGUGCAAGAUUACAGCAACUGGGUUCAACUCCAAAAGCAGCUGAUAAAUUAGCUUCUUUGUUCAUAUCAGCUAGUAAACUAGCAAAUGCAAGGCCGAGUAACUCAAUAAAUUUGAUAUUUCAGUAAAGAAGGCAUUGUUGAGAUUCAGCAGAGAAGGCAUUGUUGAGAUUCGCAAACUCAAUAAAAUUUGACAUAUUUGGUUAGAAAGAGUUAGAAUCUUUAUCGCAAUAUGGGUUAAGUUUUGACAUCAUUUUAUUAUGAUUUUGGAUUGUCCCCAAUUGGUCUCUUUGGAAAUAGAGGAGAUAUUGCAACUUGACAAUAUUCCGAGUGUUGAAUAAAUAGAAAUAAAAUGUUUGUGCC